rnacentral:rRNA from 1 species
UACGUAUGGUGCAAGCGUUAUCCGGAUUUACUGGGCGUAAAGGGAGCGCAGGCGGUGCGCCAAGUCUGAUGUGAAACCCCGGGGCUCAACCCCGGGCAUGCAUUGGAAACUGGCGGGCUGGAGUGCCGGAGAGGUAAGCGGAAUUCCUAGUGUAGCGGUGAAAUGCGUAGAUAUUAGGAGGAACACCAGUGGCGAAGGCGGCUUACUGGACGGCAACUGACGCUGAGGCUCGAAAGUGUGGGUAUCAAACAGG